UACGGGGGGAGCAAGCGUUGUUCGGAUUUACUGGGCGUAAAGGGCGCGUAGGCGGCGCAGCAAGUCAGGGGUGAAAGCCCGGGGCUCAACCCCGGAACAGCCUUUAAGACUGCAUCGCUAGAAUCCGGGAGAGGUGAGUGGAAUUCCGAGUGUAGAGGUGAAAUUCGUAGAUAUUCGGAAGAACACCAGUGGCGAAGGCGGCUCACUGGACCGGUAUUGACGCUGAGGUGCGAAAGCGUGGGGAGCAAACAGGG
rnacentral:rRNA from 1 species